GCGUCACAAGAGGAGGGGGAAGGGCUUUGAGGUUUCAAAAUCCCAAGCCAGGCCCCAUGCUGCUCUCUUCCUGUUGCCUGAGGAUUUGGUGCGGAACUCUCUGCUACCUCUACAGCACCGUGUCUCCUGCAUGCUGAUGCGUCAUGCCAUGAAGAUAAUGGACUAAACCUCUGAAACUAUGUGGAUCAGGAUGUGAGCUCUUAGCUGCUCCUUUGCUCUGCCGCCAUGAACUCUAACCAUCUGAAACUCUAAGCCAAAUUAAACACUUUCUUUUAUCACAGCAAUAGAAAGGAAUGUGGCAUUUGGAUUGUGUCUGAGGACAGUGAUGGCCCCAGUGGUGCAUGAAUGAAGCCGGCCAGGCCUCAUAACUUCAAAUUUCUCCAGUCAUUGCCACAAGGUCAAGGUGGCACACUGCUGAUGACACCAAGGCCUUGAAAAGACUUGUGCCACCAGGCAACUUCCCUGUCCUGGAAUUGCAGAUACCUAGGAUGAGUCAAACUGAAGUGGGCAUCAGGAAAGUGACAUUCAUAAGUGACUCACCAGGGAAGAAGAGACGCACAUUGGCUGCUGCUGCCUUUGAUAACGACUAUUUCUCAUCUACAUCCUGCUGUGUGUUCUGCUGUGUGUUCUUCAUGGGGUCCACUUGUUGGAGUAAGAGGUCUAAAAUUCGCCAGCCCUUCUCCCUGGGUAGAGCACUCUCUUGCCUCCUUACCUUCUUGAUGGGGCAGACUUCUGCUUGCUCAGUAAGAAUCUCUGGCCAGGGCAAACUUUUUUGGUGGUUUGGUGACUUCCACUCCUAAGAUUAAUUUUGAGCUGUGGAACUGAAGAAUAUUCCUUCUCCUAUAGAGCUGUUCCAGGUAACACUGUCACCGCUAUUCACUUUGAAUUUGUGUAUGUUGUCCUGGUGUCAUUCUAUGUGGGUGGAGAAGUCCCUACCCAGCCACAAUCACAUCCUCAAAUUGGUCUAACUUCAGCUAAGAGUGGAGUGCCCUGGACCAGGCAUCAGCUGGCUCUUCUAAAGAUUCUUGUGAGACCUAGGCCACCUGCUCAGUUUCCCAGUGCCUACAUCUCUACAUCUAUAACAUAAAGACAAUUCAAACUUUGAUUUCAGCUUCUGGGAAUAAAAUUGAACUGUGUAUGAACAUUGAUGUUCCCAUGGCAACAGUCAUGUCAGGUAUCUAGUAUGCCACUGGAACAAUACAUUAUUUGUAAUAAGUACUUGUAGAGUCUCCUGACACAGAAGAAAAGACUCUUACAGGAAACCUGGAGGGUUUACUUCUACAUUAAUUUGCAUUCAUUAUCUCAGGAGACUUCAUCAUGCUUCUCCAAACUAUCUGGUUCUCAAUUUGCAGAAUAAAAUGAAUUAGUACACCCUGGAGCCAUUGAAUCCACAAGCAAUAUGAAUGCAGCUAUGGUUAGAAUAAAGAGAAAGAGACUGGCCUCCUGCUAACAUCACAGGGGAGUCCCUGGGAAUGGUUGAUGAGGGUGGAAAGGGUUCCAACUCAGCCAACUGAAGGGAACAGAAAUGUCAGGUCUACAAAACAACUUAUUGAAAUGUCAUUAUCAUUAUUAUUUAUGGAAAAUGUAAGUCUACAAAAGGACAAAAUAGUAAUCAGGUCACUUACACAUAGACAAUAUUAACAUUUUGAUAUCAAGUCUUCCCAUCUUUUUUUCUAGAUACUCUAUUCUAAAACUACAUUCUCAUUUUUGAUCAUUUUUACAAGUCAUUUUAUAUUAUAGAAAGUAACUUGCAGAGUGUGUCAUCAGAAGGACAUAGCAAUUCGUGUAACUAAUUCACAAUUACUCAAAAUUUAGAUUGUGCCUUGAGUUUUCUGUUAAUUAAAAUCAAUUCAUUUAUUGCCUUAAGGUCUGAAAUUAAUUUCACUGGAACUUUGUCAUCCAUCCAUAUCAUCACUGGCAAUGUGGCAUUCUCUCCCUUAGAAAGAUCUCUGUGGGUGAACUAGAGUGAAUGCCCCAAACCUUGGCAAGAAAUUCCCAUAUUCUCAGAAGGGAAGGCUUUUGUCUGGAUUGUAUUUUACCAUUUUCUCUGGUCUCUUAUAUGAGACUUUUGCCUAAAAUGUCAUUCCCCUUUCCCAGAUUUGUGGAAAAUAUGUUUUUUUUUUUUGCUUUUGAAUUCUUCCUCUGACCAAGACACUGGUCUCUUCAUUUUAAUGCUUUACCUUCUCUUUUGAUGAAGGUUUAUUUCCUUAACCCAGCCAGUCAAACAAUUUUUAGUACCAAAAUCCCAUUUGAAAUUCAGAGGAUGCCAGAGUUCGUGUUGGAGUUGUAUCUGUUGCUAUUUAAUGAAACAGAAUGAA
rnacentral:lncRNA from 1 species